rnacentral:rRNA from 1 species
GAGUGAAAGUCGUAACAAGGUUUCCGUAGGUGAACCUGCGGAAGGAUCAUUAAAGAGAGGGGCUUCGCGCUCCAGGGGACUUCGGUUCCCGCCUCUACACCCUGUGAUUACCUUACCUUUUCGUUGCUUUGGCGGGGAGUCCCCCGCCAGCAGCCCACCGAAACUCGUUUUAUUCAUGUUUGUCGGAGUCUAAUUCAUAAUGAAUCAAAACUUUCAACAACGGAUCUCUUGGUUCUGGCAUCGAUGAAGAACGCAGCGAAAUGCGAUAAGUAAUGUGAAUUGCAGAAUUCAGUGAAUCAUCGAAUCUUUGAACGCACAUUGCGCCCCUCGGUAUUCCGGGGGGCAUGCCUGUUCGAGCGUCAUUGCACCACUCAAGCGUAGCUUGGUAUUGGGUCCUUCGCUGGGUAACCCCUGGCGUGCCCGAAAAGCAUUGGCGGUCCGGUGUGACUUUAAGCGUAGUAAAUUUUCUCCCGCUUUGAAAGCCUCGCGCCGUGGCCGGCCAGACAACCCCAUGAUUUCUCACGAUUGACCUCGGAUCAGGUAGGGAUACCCGCUGAACUUAAGCAUAUCAAUAA